rnacentral:rRNA from 1 species
UACGUAGGGUGCAAGCGUUAAUCGGAAUUACUGGGCGUAAAGCGUGCGCAGGCGGUUUUGUAAGUCUGUCGUGAAAUCCCCGGGCUUAACCUGGGAAUGGCGAUGGAGACUGCAAGGCUAGAGUUUGGCAGAGGGGGGUAGAAUUCCACGUGUAGCAGUGAAAUGCGUAGAGAUGUGGAGGGACACCGAUGGCGAAGGCAGCCCCCUGGGUCAAAACUGACGCUCAUGCACGAAAGCGUGGGGAGCAAACAGG